rnacentral:rRNA from 1 species
ACCGGCAGCUCAAGUGGUGGCCAUUUUUAUUGGGCCUAAAGCGUUCGUAGCCGGUUUGAUAAGUCUCUGGUGAAAUCCCGCAGCUUAACUGUGGGACUUGCUGGAGAUACUAUUAGACUUGAGGUCGGGAGAGGUUAGGGGUACUCCCAGGAGAGGGGUGAAAGCAAAUAGCCCUGGGAGGACUACCUGAGGCGAGGGCGCCUAACCGGAACGAACCUGAGGGUGAGUAACCAGAGUCAGGAGGGUGAUUCG